rnacentral:rRNA from 1 species
GUGCCAGCAGCCGCGGUAAUACAGAGAUGGCAAGCGUUGUUCGGAAUCACUGGGCUUAAAGCGCGUGUAGGCGGAGCGGAAGGCGUUUUGUGAAAUCCCUCGGCUCAACCGAGGAACUGCUUGGCGAACCGACGCUCUUGAGGCAGGUAGAGGUCACUGGAACCAUAGGUGGAGCGGUGAAAUGCGUAGAGAUCUAUGGGAACGCCGGUGGCGAAAGCGAGUGACUGGGCCUGAUCUGACGCUGAGACGCGAAAGCGUGGGUAGCAAACAGGAUUAGAUACCCCAGUAGUCC